GUACUUGCUACAGCAGCACAUUUAUUAAAAGUGGAAUGUUGCAGAGAAGAUUAACAUGGCCCUUGCACAAGGAUGACAUGCAAUUCAUGAAGUGUUCCAUAUUUUA
ensembl:snRNA U6 U6 spliceosomal RNA